AUACGGAGGGAGCAAGCGUUAUUCGGAAUCACUGGGCGUAAAGGACGCGUAGGCGGGUUUGUAAGUCGGGUGUGAAAUCCUACAGCUCAACUGUAGAACUGCACUUGAAACUACAGACCUAGAGUAUGGAAGGGGCAGAUGGAAUUAGUGGUGUAGGGGUAAAAUCCGUAGAUAUCACUAGGAAUACCGAAAGCGAAGGCGAUCUGCUGGGACAUUACUGACGCUGAGGCGUGAAAGCGUGGGGAGCAAACAGGAUUAGAUACCCUAGUAGUCC
rnacentral:rRNA from 1 species